GUGGAGUGUAUAGAGUGUGUUCAGGGAUUGAGCUAUUGAGAAUUGAGCCCAAGUAGUGUUGCCUGUUGGUGGGGGAUGUGGAGGGAGGGGGGAGUUUUUGAAUUUUGCAACUUUGUGUGAUACUGAUUUGUCAUUUGUGUCUUUGUGUUCUGUUCCUGUUCCAUAUCAGUCCGCGCCGCUAAGCCAACACUCGCUUCACUUCAUUGCAGUGUUGGCAGUAGAGGAGCACGUGUGUAUUCUUCUUGUUUUAGGCAUCUGUGUUGUGUGUGGUCGGUCUCCUAGAAUUGACGAUGAAACAUUUGUUAACAGGAUUUAGAUUUUUUGCUUGUCCACUGACAGCUGGGUUUUGGAGGCCAUGGCAAGUUAAUAGCAUAAAAGUGUUCCAGAUUGGAAAGUGAUUCCUUCAAUGUUUACAGCAAACACACAUUUGAACAGUUGUUUGAUAUUUUGUUCACCGUGUCUAAAUAUUGUCUUAGUGUUUUGCAUUUCAUUUAAUUUGUUUGUACCUGUCUUAAUUUUAUAAUUUUUUUUUGUCAUAUGACUCAUAACAACCAAGUGAUGUUUUUAGCUGUUUGAUGUUGCAAUUGAUGGAUUCAUCCAUAAAAUUCGCCCACCAAAAAAGGACCAGAUUGAAUUUGGCGGAUUGUUUUCCUUUUUCAUAUGCGUUAUGUCAUUGAAGUAAUCGUGUAAUAAUAUAACCUGGGAUUAAUUCAAUAUAUUUGGAAAACGAA